UUUGAAUAUCCUAAGAGGAAAUGAGAUCAUAAAACUUCAGAACAGUAUUUCUCCAGCAGUGCAUUGGAAAUAGAAGCUGCCCUUUAGCUGAAACACUGUGAUCAAAGCUCACAAGUUAAGAAAUUAGCUUUUAUACAUAAAGAAAGAUAAAACCUUUCCCUCGAAGAAUUUCAUAUCUGGAAAUCUAUACGAAAAGAUUCUCACACCACAAGACCUAAAGUCAGGAGAGGUUUUCUGGGUUGUGACCUAUAUGUGGAC
rnacentral:lncRNA from 1 species